AUGAGGAUCUUCUUCCCCGACGUCGUCUUCUUCGAGUACAAGCAGGCCAGGAGCCAGACAGGCCCAAGGCUGAUGCGAUCGUCUUCCUCUACGACCUCUUCUUCCAUGUGUUCUCUGCUUCACGAACACAGGCGAUCUGCGGGUCCCCAAGCCGUCUUCACUGCUUCUCCGACCGGAUCUGCUCUUCUCCGCCUCGAUCUGAUGCUUCCUUGCCAGAGUUCGCGCCAGGUCUGGCUGCCGUCCAGCCUCUGCAUCGUGCGCUGCCUCCCCUGCUUCUGCACGCGAACGAGGCCGAAGAGAUGCCCCUCUUGCCGCGUUGACCUCGCCCGCUCGAUUCCCUUCCUCGCUUGGGUUCUCGCCGUCCUCGCCCGAUCCACUCAACCGCCGCCCCGGACCAAGUCCCCUGCCGCCGUCGUGCACUGCUUCUGCUCCUCCCGCUCGUCUCUGUGCGCGAGGAGGACGAGCAAGGCAACCGCUGACCGCAUCUUCCUCUUCGCUAGGCCCAGUGCGCCCGCGUGA
rnacentral:rRNA from 1 species